UACGGAGGGUGCGAGCGUUGUCCGGAAUCAUUGGGCGUAAAGGGCGCGUAGGUGGCCCGGUCAGUCUUUGGUGAAAGCGCGGGGCUCAACCCUGCGUCGGCCAGGGAUACUGCCGCGGCUCGAGCACUGUAGAGGCAGGCGGAAUUCCGGGUGUAGCGGUGGAAUGCGUAGAGAUCCGGAAGAACACCGGUGGCGAAAGCGGCAUCCUGGACCGACAUUGACGCUGAGGCGCGAAAGCCAGGGGAGCAAACGGG
rnacentral:rRNA from 1 species